GAUGAACGCUGGCGGCGUGCCUAAUACAUGCAAGUCGAGCGAACAGACGAGGAGCUUGCUCCUCUGACGUUAUCGGCGGACGGGUGAGUAACACGUGGAUAACCUACCUAUAAGACUGGGAUAACUUCGGGAAACCGGAGCUAAUACCGGAUAAUAUAUUGAACCGCAUGGUUCAAUAGUGAAAGACGGUUUUGCUGUCACUUAUAGAUGGAUCCGCGCCGCAUUAGCUAGUUGGUAAGGUAACGGCUUACCAAGGCAACGAUGCGUAGCCGACCUGAGAGGGUGAUCGGCCACACUGGAACUGAGACACGGUCCAGACUCCUACGGGAGGCAGCAGUAGGGAAUCUUCCGCGAUGGGCGAAAGCCUGACGGAGCAACGCCGCGUGAGUGAUGAAGGUCUUCGGAUCGUAAAACUCUGUUAUUAGGGAAGAACAAAUGUGUAAGUAACUAUGCACGUCUUGACGGUACCUAAUCAGAAAGCCACGGCUAACUACGUG
rnacentral:rRNA from 1 species